rnacentral:lncRNA from 1 species
UUUAAAUGCACUUGAAUAUUCUUUAUUCAAAGCUACAUGGAUUUUUCAGCCUUUCCUUCUCUCCUAGGAACUGUUGCGAAGCUGUUAUUUCCCAUUGCCCCUGUGUCACAAAGGGAUUUUCUUGAAAAAGUCACUCUCUUUUUAGGCUUGCCACACCACCUCCAAGUGUAACAGACAGUAAAUGAGAUGCCAUUAGGUUAAACCUGAGCUGCCUCCUAAGAAACAUGAAUAAUUGAAACUCUUCACAUACAUAUUUAUCUCUCUCUCUCUCUGCUUGUCAGUCACUCAUCAAUAGCUACCACUCCAAACAUACCUGUCUAUUACCCAAAUGCAUUAUUUGACCUCUACCUUACCCCUUUAUUUCAAUCUAUAAGAGGGUUUAACACUGCCUAUUUUUUAAAUAUAAAUUUUCUUAUUAUCCUUAUAAAAAUCACAUUUAAGCUAGUUGUUAAAAUAUUUCCAUGGUGCUAUUAUUAAAAACCACAAGGUUAUAUUUUGUACAUUUCUGAAGUUUCUUCUGUAUGUGUUCUGAUAUAUGUGUUAUUUAAUAGGUAGAAUAUAAAAAAAAGAUUGUUUUCAUGAAGUGAGCUGUUCAUUGGGAAAUAAGGGGACAGAUGGUCUAAACCUUUAAAUGAAAAUAUAUUCAUAGCAGUGUAGCGCUACUAAGCCCUUUUGAAAUCCAACACAAAAUUCCUUAGCCAGAUCCUGCUGUUCUCUUAUGCUUCAAGAGACUCUAUUUGACUGAACUGCAAAGAAGAUCAUCUGAUGUCACAGUUGAAUCUAUCCAUGGACCAUAUCAUUUGAGUGUAUUAUAACCAGUCAUCAGGCCUCUCCAGUUCUCUGGGUUCUACUCACACCCUCUAUGCCAGUAUCACAGAAGUAAUGGCACUCUAUGAGAUUACGACUCUAUCUUAUUCCCUAAAGAUACAGGAUUUCACUUUGUUGCCCAAGCUGAACUGCAAUGAAGUAGGAAGUACGGCCUCACUGCAGCCUCAAACUUCUGGGGUCAAGCCAUCCUCUUGAGUAGCUAGCACUACAGGACACAAUUGGAGAAACUGGUUGUUUUACUAAGACUUUGACUGGAAGGGUGUGCUUGCCUUUAAGGAAUCAAGCUUGACUUGCAAAGCCAAUAAAAGCCACAUGGGAAAACUGGCUUCAUACCUUGUCUACACUGUCCCUGUAUAGGGUUCCUAACCUGUGGUAAGUAAGGAAUGUCACUUUCUAAUAUGCCCAGGAACCCCAAGCUGUCUUGGGACCUCAAGAAGGGAGGAAUUUACUCAACUAAUAG